CGUGUAGGCGGCCUAAUAAGUUAGAAGUGAAACCUAUCGGCUCGACUGAUAGCCUGCUUCUAAAACUGCUAAGCUUGAGUGCAGAAGAGGGGAGUGGAAUUCCCAGUGUAGCGGUGAAAUGCGUAGAUAUUGGGAGGAACACCAGUGGCGAAAGCGGCUCCCUGGUCUGUAACUGACGCUGAGGCGCGAAAGCGUGGGUAGCAAACA
rnacentral:rRNA from 1 species